ACUCAGUACUUAGGAUGUGUUUUUUGUUGUGCUUGUGCACUUCACUGUUUGUCCUAUCCUGUCAUGUCUUUUGUCUUGUCUGCGCAUGGGACAGUGAGAAACGCAAUUUCGAUUCCUUUGCAUGUCCAGUGCAUGAGAAGGAAUUGACAAUAAAGCUGACUUUGACUUUGACUUUGACUUGACAUGACAGGUCAUGCCACAGUGAUGCCUCUAGAUGUGAUGACCGAUUCAGUAAUGAUGUCUCCGGGCCCCUGGCCAGAUCCAGACAUGGUGAAAGAUCACGGUACAGUGAUCUUAGCAGCCCCCCAUAUGACAGACCUUCGCAUGAUGCAGUGACUGAGAGUGGGAGAUGGACUUUCCCAUUACCUUGGGAUGUGUACCAAAAAAAGGUCCUGACUUUACUGGUAGACAUUCGCCAUCGCCUGAAGGAAACACAGCCUGCCUCUUCAGCUGUCCAUAUUCGGAGGAUUGACACCAUGGAGGAUUUUGAAUUACAGGAGCAACAACUCUCUGAUGCACAGGCCUUCAAUACCCUGGUGCGGCAAAUUUCAAAAAUCGGUGGGCGGAACUCCAAGGACUGUGUCCAGAAAGUGUUGGACAGGCCGUUAGUGAAGACACUAACGGCCUGAUGGCAAAGUUUAAUAUGAAGGGCAAGGGGAAAAGGGGCAAAAAGCCUUUGGAAGGAACAAAAGUUUAUCGAGCUAUACAAGGUCAGCCCAAGUUUCAUGUUGACCAAUCUGUAAAUAAUGACUUUACACAAAAUAUUGCCUUCCCUGCUGAUAUUUAAAAAACAAUGCCAACUGUCUACCAUGGCUAUCUUAUCAGUUGCUGAGAUGGUUUUGUAUUAAUUCAGUAAUGGUAGUUGAUGAACAGGAAACAUAUUUUCGCAAAUGUCAGGUGUGUAUGAAUGCAGAUCACCUUUGCAUAUAUCUAAAUCAUUUGUCU